AGCGAACACUGGCGGCAGGCCUAACACAUGCAAGUCGAACGAAGUCUUCGGACUUAGUGGCGGACGGGUGAGUAACACGUGGGAACGUGUCUUUAGGUUCCGAAUAACUCAGGGAAACUUAUGCUAAUACCGAAUGUGCGCUUAGGGGGAAAGAUUUAUCGCCUUUAGAGCGGGCCGCGUCUGAUUAGCUAGUUGGUGAGGUAAAGGCUCACCAAGGCUACGAUCAGUAGCUGGUCUGAGAGGAUGACCAGCCACAUUGGGACUGAGACACGGCCCAAACUCCUACGGGAGGCAGCAGUGGGGAAUCUUGCGCAAUGGGCGAAAGCCUGACGCAGCCAUGCCGCGUGGAUGAUGAAGGUCUUAGGAUUGUAAAAUCCUUUCACCGGUGAAGAUAAUGACUGUAGCCGGAGAAGAAGCCCCGGCUAACUUCGUGCCAGCCGCCGCGGUAAAAC
rnacentral:rRNA from 1 species